GCAGCAGCUCACAGACGGUCAGGUACAAGCAGCCAGUAUAGACUGGGACUUGACAACCAGUGGACCUCCUGUCGAGUUUCCAUUGGCAGAAGAGAAAGCUAUUAUUCAAAGACGGUGAAUUGUAUAGGAUUAUACCAGGGAGUGCUUGCUGUUUUCUACCAACACACCAUAAGUAAAGACUUGCAGUUGCAUGGAGGACAACAGGUGUGGAUUUAAGGACCGGUGAAGUCAUGACGUUGAAGAGGAGACAAUAAAGUGGACAAUGUCGUGUGGUGCCUGGGCUUCUUCCUGGAGAAAAAUUGGAUUAUAGAUGAGGAGAACAGAAUUCCUUUGCCUGCAUGUGUCAUUGGAGCAGAACUGUAUCCCUUGAACUGUAUCUAUCUCACGAUGGUUUGGACAUCAUGCUUGAUUUCAAGCAGUAGAUGACUCAAGAGGAGCUGAAUGGCAGUUUGAUCAUGACAACACCCCUCUUAUCAUUUGCUCUACAAUAGAUGUCUGUACCUUAUACUAAAGACACACUCACACACAACACAUCAGCUGCUGCUAAGUUGAACAGCUGUACAAGUAUUCCAUGAACAUUACUACACUGAUCAUACUGUAUUUUCUUACCAUUUGUGUCUUUGUAAAUGGCAAGUUCACCACUUCUCCCAUCAACUGCUGAUCACCAGUUCCCUGCGCUCUACUCCACAUAAGUCACACUCGGACUACACUGUUCAUACUGUUACCAUUUAACAUUCUAGUUGAAUACCCAGUUCGAUUUUUAAGUUAGCAUUAGUGUACACUCCCAUUGACCAAUUAAUUGUUUGGAUAUAGCUGCAUGUCUGACAUCUGUUUGAUGCUAAAGAGCCCUGUACAGCUUAUAUAAAUAUAUCCUGUGAAUCCAUACAGGUAGAACAUUUUUGAAGAUUGAUAGAAAAUAUCCAUAUUUUAUUGUGGUUCUACACCACAAGCCCGAAUCAGGCGAAACAAAUUCCAGGUUUUGCUUAUUUAUUACCGUGUCCUAAUCCCAGGAACCAAUAUAAUACUUUCAGCUAAGAGUUACGUACUUCUAGUUCUGCCUGUUUCAGCAUAGUUCUCCGAUUAUGGUUUUCUACUAGAAGCAUGCCAAACGAGGCAGAGCAAGAAGUAUGCAUCGUACGGAAUUAAGGAAUUAGACUGUUGGUUCUGUGAAUCGGACAAUGAAUAGAUGCCCACACAUUUUAUUACAGUUUUUAAAAAACACAGUAGUUGUUCAAAGUGCGACCUUUCGCUGUACAAAAAUCUGUCAACAUUUAGAAAUACAAAGGAAUAGCAUUAUUUACAUACAUACAAACAGUAUCAGUUUGAAAACCCUGCACUAAAUGCUACAAUAAUAUCUGCAUAAACACUACACAUUUUUUACCAUAGUCAAUACUACAGUAUUGAAUUUGCAUGUAUCCUUCUCUCCCCCAUGUCCCAAUUUGGGCCACCCAUAAGUGAGAAACCUACAUGCCAAUAUAGACCGUAUUGUGUUCCAUAGAGUUAAUAGGAAAAAGUUAAAGUGCUGAACUUUCUCGGCAGAGCCCAGGCUUUAUAUUACAGUUUCAGAAAUGUUUUAUUUACUAUGGCUGUGAUAUGUUUUAAUCAACCUUAGUUUAUUGCAGUGACUGUGAAUGGCUACUCUAAUGAGCUUUGCCCUCACACUAUUUGUAUUUUGAUCUGAUUUGGCCUAGUUUGGGUUGGCACUCAUUAGAAUAAUACCCAGCACUGUGCUUUGCCAGUGUUAAUUUUUACAUUUACAUUUUGUUAAUUGAGCAGAUGCUCUUAUCUGGAGUGACUUACAGGCAGGGCAUUAAACUAAGUUAGUUACUGUUACGUUACUGUUACAGAGAAGGUUGUUGUAACUAAGCGGGCUACUUGCAAGUUUAUUUUUGUAUUAGGAAAUACAAAAUACGUUAAUUCUAAUUCAACUGUUACACAAUAUAUACAUUGUAGUUCAGGUCAGUGAAAUACAAAUGACAGAAUCGGUAUGGAAACUAUUGAAAUAUAUAAAAUACAUGUAACUGAAAUACUGCCUAACCUUGGCACUAGCUGCCUGCACUGCAAAUCAGUUUAGUAACCACUGUUCUUCCGGUAAUGCACUGUACAUUCUAGAAAUACAGCAUGUUGCUGUACUCAGGUGUUACAGUAAUAUGCUGUAAAUUUGUGUUUCCGUAAAGGUCCUGUAAAUCUAAAGGAAUUUACUGGUUUCUGUGCUGCCAGUGUUUCACUGGAUAUUUACAGUAACCUACUGGCUACUGUGCUGCCAGUAAUUUACUGUAAAUAUUACAGGAUUUUUUUUGUGUAGUGCAUAACUUUUGAUCAGGGCCCAUAGGGCUUUUCUGUAGGGCUAAGGCCACAUGUGUGCUCUCAUCCCUAAAGAACACAUUGACUUAGGUACAGAGAUGGGCAGUAUUUCUGUUACUUCUGAGUAUUUUGUUCUGUAAUUUGUAUUACACUGGGCUGAACUACAAUCCAAUGUAUUUAAUAAUAAGAUACUUUUGAGAGCUGUAAUUUAUAUGCUCAAAAUAAAAAAUACAUUUCUAUACUGUUUUUUUUAUAGCGUUUACAAUUUUGUGGCCCCCUU